GAUUUCUGGCCUGAAACAUUUUGCCGGCCACGGUUUCGUGUGUUAGUGCUUUGUGUUCUGGCCAUCCUUCCAAUCGCUAUUCAGCUUUCUUCAUUGAUUGUUGAGUGGUAUUGGAUCUUUUACUUUGAAAAAAUUAGAGUGUUUCAAGCAGGCUUUAUGCUAUGAAUACAUUAGCAUGGAAUAAUAAUUUAGGACUUCGGUUCUAUUUUGUUGGUUUCUAGGACUGAAGUAAUGAUUGAUAGGGAUAGUUGGGGGUGCUAGUAUUCAGCGGCCAGAGGUGAAAUUCUCGGAUUCGCUGAAGACUAACUUAUGCGAAAGCAUU
rnacentral:rRNA from 2 species